rnacentral:rRNA from 1 species
GCUGGAUUUGAAAGUGGCGCACGGGUGCGUAACGCGUAUGCAACCUACCUUAAUCUGGGGGAUAGCCCGGAGAAAUCCGGAUUAACACCGCAUAAAAACACAGGAUAGCAUUAUCCAAUGUUCAAAUAUUUAUAGGAUUGGGAUGGGCAUGCGUGUCAUUAGCUAGUUGGCGGGGUAACGGCCCACCAAGGCGACGAUGACUAGGGGAUCUGAGAGGAUGGCCCCCCACACUGGUACUGAGACACGGACCAGACUCCUACGGGAGGCAGCAGUAAGGAAUAUUGGUCAAUGGAGGCAACUCUGAACCAGCCAUGCCGCGUGCAGGAAGACUGCCCUAUGGGUUGUAAACUGCUUUUAUCCGGGAAUAAACCUCUUUACGUGUAGAGAGCUGAAUGUACCGGAAGAAUAAGGAUCGGCUAACUCCGUGCCAGCAGCCGCGGUAAUACGGAGGAUCCAAGCGUUAUCCGGAUUUAUUGGGUUUAAAGGGUGCGUAGGCGGCCUGUUAAGUCAGGGGUGAAAGACGGUAGCUCAACUAUCGCAGUGCCCUUGAUACUGAUGGGCUUGAAUGGACUAGAGGUAGGCGGAAUGAGACAAGUAGCGGUGAAAUGCAUAGAUAUGUCUCAGAACACCGAUUGCGAAGGCAGCUUACUAUGGUCUUAUUGACGCUGAGGCACGAAAGCGUGGGGAUCAAACAGGAUUAGAUACCCUGGUAGUCCACGCCCUAAACGAUGAACACUCGCUGUUGGCGAUACACAGUCAGCGGCUAAGCGAAAGCGUUAAGUGUUCCACCUGGGGAGUAC